GUCUAUGGUCAUGCCACCCUGAACAAGCCCAAUCCCGUCUGAUCUCAGAAGCUAAGCAGGGUCAGGCCUAGUUAGUACUUGGAUGGGAGGCCACCUAGGAAGAUCAGGUGCUGUAGGCA
rnacentral:rRNA from 1 species